rnacentral:sRNA from 1 species
CGGAGCUCGAAUAUUGCUUGAUUCCCAGGUUCUCCAGGACAAGCAGAUCGGUGCCGUCCUGAAAGUCCA